rnacentral:lncRNA from 1 species
UUCCUCUGAAAAUUUCUUAGUUUGGUCUUCUCUUAUAAUAGAUUAGCAACAUUUCGUAAGAUUUUAGUUUUAUGUUUUAUGAUGCUCAUAGAGGUUGAAUCUGCGAAAUUUUUAGCUUGCUUUAGUACUGUAGAUACACUUAAUUAUUUGAUUGCAUUAAAGUACAUGAAAAAAACAAAGAUUUGUCAUCUUCUUCAGUUUCUGGUUGAAAGGAAGGGGGAA